GGCUGCUGCGGUGGGUGCCGAGCGCUUGGCCGGCGGCAGGAGGAGAGAACGGGGCUGUCCCGACGGGAACCGUCGGUUGCGGGCCUUCAGAAAAGUCCCCUGCAAGGGAAGGCAGCUUCAUGAAAGGAGCUAUUGAGAAGGAGCCAGGGGACAGGGUCUCCAAGCAGCAUCUUCACGAACAAAGGCCUUGGGGCCACCAGAAAAAAAAAAAGAAAGAAGGAACAUUUAAGAAAGCAUGAAACAACCAAUACCUUCAGUGGCUCUUCACGGAUAAAUACUAUCCGUGCUUUAAGAAGCUGAUGCCAGGUUCUGCCACUAUUCAAAGAGACCCAAGCCCGACGUCACCUGCCGUAAGGAGCCCACUCUGACCUCCAGUGGCUGCAUUAGGUGCCUCUCCUGGGUUUCUGCAGCCCCCGUGCCUAACCUUCUCUGCACUUAACUCCCUCUUUAAAAACUAUUAUUAUUAUUAUCAUAAUCGGUGUUGUUUUGUUUAAAGUACAGUUGACCCUUGAACAACACAGGGGUUGGGGGUGUGGACCCCCCAUGUGGUAAAAACUCUGCAUAUCAUUUUGAUGCCCCUCAAACUUAAUAUCACUAAUAACCUGCUAUUGACUGAAAGUCUUACUGAUCAUAUAAACCAUAGAUUAACACAUAUUUUGUAUGUUGUGUGUAUUAUAUACUGUG